UACGUAGGGGGCAAGCGUUAUCCGGAUUUACUGGGUGUAAAGGGAGCGUAGACGGUUAUGCAAGUCAGAAGUGAAAGCCCAAAGCUCAACUUCGGGACUGCUUUUGAAACUGUGUAACUAGAGUGCAGGAGGGGUAAGCGGAAUUCCUAGUGUAGCGGUGAAAUGCGUAGAUAUUAGGAGGAACACCAGUGGCGAAGGCGGUCUGCUGGACAGCAACUGACGCUGAGGCGCGAAAGCGUGGGGAGCAAACAGG
rnacentral:rRNA from 1 species